rnacentral:rRNA from 1 species
GCCCGCUACAGAAACUUAAAGGAAGUUCGACGGGGGCCCGCACAAGCGGUGGAGCAUGUGGUUUAAUUCGAUGAUACGCGAGGAACCUUACCUGGGCUAGAACGCAAUCGGAAUCAGGCCGAAAGGUCUGCGCCAGCGAUGGCCGCUUGCGAGGUGCUGCAUGGUUGUCGUCAGCUCGUGCCGUGAGGUGCGGGUUAAGUCCCAUAACGAGCGCAACCCCUACUGCUAGUUGCCAGCGGGUCAUGCCGGGGACUCUAGCGGAACUGCCAGCGUAAGCUGCGAGGAAGGUGGGGAUGACGUCAAAUCAGCACGGCCCUUAUGACCUGGGCUACAAACGUGAUACAAUGGCUGGAACAAAGGGAUGCGAAGCAGUGAUGUGGAGCGAAACCCAUAAAAACAGUCUCAGUUCGGAUUGAAGUCUGCAACUCGACUUCAUGAAGUCGGAAUCGCUAGUAAUCGCGGAUCAGAACGCCGCGGUGAAUACGUUCUCGGGGUUU